CCCUGGUCGAGAGCCUAUUGGCUUGUGCAUCACCAUUACGUUUAGAUUCUAACCCCUUGCAUCAUUCAUGUUGCAGUGGGUUCUCUUCUUCACCAUGAUCAAUUGCAUUGAUAUAUCCAUCCUCUUUUGAGUUUUCAAUGCAAGUCCAACACCUCCUUGGCCUCACUUAGGGUAAUAAAAUUUUGUCUUACUGCAUUGUCUUGCAAUAUGACUGUUGAUGAUCUCAUUUACUUCAAGAGAGAAGAAAGAUGG
rnacentral:lncRNA from 1 species